AAACCCAAACAACAAAACCACCACCCACCCCUCCAGAAACCUCUCCUUGACCUGAGAUUUGAACCUGACCUAUGGCUUAAUCACAAGACAGCCAAGAAACAUAUUAGGAAGACCAGCACAGGUCUUUGGAACUAUUUAGCUACAUACACAUAAGAAGCCCACUUAUUCUAUGAUUCUCAAACCACAGAAUUUGCUGCAUAAGUAUUAAAUUCAACACGAAAGUCCAUGUUUACAAACCUGCCUUCCAACCUGUCCUGUUCUUCCCAGCUGCAUGCUAGUGUCAAGUAUAAUAAACAUACUUUCUACUCCAUUAUUUGAACAACUAAUGAAGAUACAAAGCUGUACAAACCUCUGGACAGUCCCCCUGGAAAACCCGACUAAUUCCAAUUCAGUAGCAGAUCACUGAGAACUACUCUCUGUGAACAGAGUAUCCAGCCAGGUUUGCAUGAAUUCCGCAAUAGUUUUUCAAGAACGUUAUGAGAAAGAAAAAUCAGAUUACAUCAAAGACUUACUAAAUUCAAAAUAAUAUAAAGGGAGGCAGGCAAGUACAAGUGCAAAAUGAAUAAAAUAAGAUAUUCCACAUAUUGCUGUGUACCGGACAGAUGUGUGAAGCUUAUAAAUCUGUAUGUCAUUUGGGCAAUCUUAAGACAGAAGAGGUCAUGUCUGAGGGUAUAUUUGUUUAAGAGAAAAGGCUGCUUCGACAGCUUCAGACCUUAUGUCCUUUGUCUUAUUCUUGCUAAAAAGUAGUAGUAGGCGGUAAAAAAACCCUAUUAGACUUUUGCUUUGUCCAUACUUAAUUAUUAUUAGUUAUAAAGAUGGUCAUAUCUACACCUUAUGAUUUCCACUGUGCAAACAGCACAAGCACUUUCUAGGAAAACCUGAACAGCUUACAUGGGACUACAUAAUAAGAGAAAAUUAUUUAAAGAAUGUACAUUUAACUGGCCUAGCUUUGUCUAAAGAGCACUUUCUUUCAGAUGUGGAAAACUGCAUUUGGCACACACAACCACCUAUAUCAGCAACCAAACAAAAUCAAAGUGAGAUACUACUUUCUGAGUGACCUGUGUUACCUUUUAAAGCUUGGUGUCCAUUUAGUUUGGAAUGGAACUGAAAAAUAAUAAGCUGUACUAAAAUUCCCAAAUGUAUCAAAAUAAAGCCUCCAUGCUGCAUUUACUCACAUGUGUGUAAACUCAAGAUGUAAACAAGCUCAUCAGUUUUAAUAGAUUACAAAUAUACCUGAAGUAAAGCAUAUGAAAUGUUAUUUGAAGGCUUAAAUAGCUAACUCAGAUGGCUGAUUCAUGAUAUUGUUAAACCAACAUAAAUUUGGGCUGCUGCCAAAUUAGGCAGUCCUAUUCUCAGCUUCCCACUCUGAUUGUACUCUAGAGGUUUGUUUGGUUAGAUCUGUGGUGCAUGAUGAUUUAAAGCCAAAUCAGUCCCCUGAACUGUCUUACUGCACAACCACAAAAGUGUCAGCACAAGAAAGGCAGCAAAAAGGCUAGGACAGUCCUGUUUGGCAGCAACCCCACUAUAUAUUUAUUUCAAGUGAUCAUGGCACUGCAACCACACCAAAACAUACGACACCUUAUUUGACUUUGGUUUAGCAAUUUUUUUUCAAAAUGUCAGUAAGAAAGUACUGUAAAAUAUUACUCAAAGUGCCAUGCCAUAGAAAAAAAUGUUUUUCCUCUUUCUUUACCUUCCAAGUUAUUAAUGAAUUGUCUAAUCUGUUUGCAUUCUCAAGUGAUUUAUGUUGCAUUGCCUAAUCUAAAAACGUUAUUGGAGCUCACAAGUGAAAAGAUGAAUAGAAGUACGCUCUCAAGAGGUAAGUGAUGAAGAUGAAAAAUACUGUACAUUAAAAAAAAUUAAUACAAAUAUGAAUAAAAAAGAAUUCACUGAAGUAAAACACAAACUGAACUGUGAUAUAAUAUAUUGUUCAAAUAAUUGCGAAAUGCCCAAGUAUUCUACUUUUGCCUGGUAACAGUAUUUAUGGAAUGGUUUAAAUCCUAUCAGUAUUAAUAAAUACUC